CUCCCCUGCUUCAGCUUGAGCUCAGUUAUAACGGCUUUUUCACUCCAUCCCCACACUGAGCAGCAGCACUAAAUAUGCCUUCAGAGUAAACACUGGCGGGCAGGCGUUGCCAGCUCUGCUCGCCAGCAGCCUCUCUUUAGCCUCAUUCACAACAGAGAUUUUGCCGGCACUCUGAUGGCGCCUUGGGUCCAUUGCAUACCUGUCUGCUAAGGCAGCAAUGGGCAACUCACUUGCCAGGUCAGUCACUGGGCUGGUCAAAAAGAGGUUUGGGCAGAUGAUCCCUUUCCACAAUCUGACUGUGUGUUCAUCUCUGUGCCUGGCAUUCAAUGGCCACUGUUUUGCUAAGAACACACCACCCUUUAGGACAGCAACGGAUUCAAGCAACCCCAGGGACACAGUUGAGGUCCAAUUUAUCCCAGUGGUUUUCUAUUAACUGCCAGCUUUGGAAUGUGGAAUACCACGGGGGGACGGGGACGUAAAACAGAGGCUACAUCCUCUGUCACGCCAUAAGCUCUUAUGAUAGUCACCUUAAAUGGCCAGCGUCAGUCAGCAAUGACAGGAGCCAUCUUAGCGUGAGAUUCAAGAAGGACACUGACAAACUGGAACGUGUCCAGAGGAGGGCAACCAAAAUGGUCAAAGGCCUGGAAACGAUGCCUUAUGAGGAACGGCUAAGGGAGCUGGGCAUGUUUAGCCUGGAGAAGAGGAGGUUAAGGGGUGAUAUGAUAGCCAUGUUCAAAUAUAUAAAAGGAUGUCACAUAGAGGAGGGAGAAAGGUUGUUUUCUGCUGCUCCAGAGAAGUGGACACGGAGCAAUGGAUCCAAACUACAAGAAAGAAGAUUCCACCUAAACAUUAGGAAGAACUUCCUGACAGUAAGAGCUGUUCGACAGUGGAAUUUGCUGCCAAGGAGUGUGGUGGAGUCUCCUUCUUUGAAGGUCUUUAAGCAGAGGCUUGACAACCAUAUGUCAGGAGUGCUCUGAUGGUGUUUCCUGCUUGGCAGGGGGUUGGACUCGAUGGCCCUUGUGGUCUCUUCCAACUCUAUGAUUCUAUGAUUCUAUGAAUCUCUGUGCACGAUACGGGCAAAGGGAGGGUCAACUUAACUUUCUGGGGCUGCUAGAGAUGUGUUUGGUCAAUGGAUGAGCAGCCAAUGAAAUGGCUUUCUUGCCUCGGAAAGACGCUGCGGACCUGCUCAGUCAGCAAAGCGUGAGACCCUUAAUCUCAGGGUCGUAAGUUUGGACUAGAUAACCCCUUCCAACUCUACAAUUCUAUGAUUCUGCUAAUUCUAAUUCCCCUCAGAAAGCGUGAGGGGUGUGUGGGAACCCACUGGCAGUGCUCCAGCACGGAUACCCCUGUUGGGCAAGUCCUUCACAGACUGCAUGUUCCACAUUAAAAAGAAAGAGCCUGAAGUGUAUAUAGCAACAUACACAUGAAACCCUUUGGUAUAUAAAUGUAUUAGAGAAAUAUAAUAUCUAUUUUUGAGACCCAGAUGUUGUGGAAAGUAGGUUGUAAUUUUAAAAAAUAAUAAACAAAUGUUACAUUUAAAAAUCAGCUUGCGGGCGGCUUGCCUCUCCCUUCCUUCUGUUGCUUUACUGUUUUGGAUGCUCCCCCUGCUCCUGCCUUCAUUCUCCCUCUUGAGACCACACCCACUCAAUAUCCAUGUAAUUAGCGCAACCCUGCCAUAUAGAUGUAUGUGCAGAGACAUAUAUAGUCCCCGCUCACGUGUGUCACACCCAGAGCCCUCUGUAAACUGUACCGAAGCCAAACGUUUAGAUGCUUCAGAGAAACCCUUUCAGUAGAUGCGUCACUGAGGUGGAUGUACACAAAGAGGUGAGAUCUCUGAAACACCCACAUUUAUAAGUAGCAGUGGCCAAGUUAAAUACAGUUAGAUCUAGCUGAGUCUUCCUUCUUGGCUCAGAAACGAUUAUACCUCGCAGCGCUUGGGGAGUAAAUAAUUAGCCCUAAUUUGGCUAUAUUUAACCACACAAACCGCAAACCUGUCUCUAAUGUGGCUGCCUUGAUAUGUGAUAUAGCUUGAAUGGGAACAUUUUGUACAAGGCACUGUUCAGAAAGUAGCUUCUCCGGUUUUCAGGUGUUAUGUCACACAAUACCUCUCCGUUAGACUAUUUUGACAGAUUUCGGUGGUCUUAAAAUGGGGUGGUCUUUAUGCAUCCAUGAGGGGAAUGGGAAAGGACCCCAUCAUUUGCUUGUUAAUUUUUGUAUACUAUUGCGAUCACACCAUUUCUAUAAUAAAUAAAUUAAGUGAAAUGAAUCAAGAAGCAGAGCAGUGGGGUUACUAGGGCUGCAAAAAGGAAGCAAUUAAUUAAAAGAAUUACUGUAUAUAGGAAAUACCUGGAAAUGGAGAAUUAAAGGGACAGUAGCCAUGAUCAGCUGCUGAACUGAACUUACUGCAGAGUAAGCAUAUUCAGUGGUCUUUUUUUUUUUUUGGAUUAUAAAAAAAAGUGAAGUGCUGCUACUCUUGUAUUGAUAAAAGUGCUGUGGGUGCCAGCACAAAAUGGCCGCUGUGGGCAGCAAAAAAAAAAAUAGGUGAGUACAAAAAAGAGUUGCGAGUAUAUUGGGGCCUUUCCUGUGCAGGCUGGCAUUUUAGGGAUCAUUAUGAGGCCCCCUCAUGGUAAAUGAAGGGCUCGUCCACACCAGAGUGGAGGAAUCAGGAUACAAAUUACUUGUUCCAGUUUGUUGUGGUGGGUUGGCCAAUUGUCGCUUUCUUUCACUCCCCUUUCCACACACAUUACUUCCUUGGUGCUUUAGUUUCUUCACCGGUCUUGCUCAUAACUAUUUCCUGAAUAAAGAAAUGUAGAUGUGUUUAUAUUCACCACCACUUUUGGAUCCCUCUGAUUUGCACAAAACCAGAAAACCACAGUGAAACCACACUAAAAAUUUCUACGCCAGAUACCCCCAAAAAUGUGUGUGCUGAGAAUUUACAAUUGCUUUAAUCAUUUAUAAUUGCCUCACAGCUGUCUGUACACAUGCCCUAUCCGUAUUUAAUCGUCAUAAUAUAAUCAACAAAUCAGAAGGGAGGGAUAAACACAAAAGGGUACAAACCUACUGGUACAAACAGGAAAAAAUGAAGUUGCUCCUCGUAUACAAAUUCAAAUACAUGCAGGUGUGGUCUACUCCGGUCUAAUUCUAAUGGGCAAAAGAUGGAUUAAAUCAUGCUAAAAUGUGGGCAAGCCCAAAGGUCCUUGUGGAAUCAUUGCUUUAAUUCUGUUUUCCAGCUGACUGCAGAAGAGUAAUGCAUCAGCGUCACUAAAGAGCCCUAAUUGUGAACCACUUAUGAAUUCCGUCAAGUGAUAUUCAGAGAGGCAUACUUCCUCCAACAGAGGAAGCACAACAUAGACAUCCUGUCCAGGAGCCAUUAAUACCCUCAUCCUCCUUAUCCUCUUCAGACUGUGACUGAACGCAGACUCAAUUCAUGACUUCAGCACCAGCCAACCUUUCCCCCUCCAUUUUGUUUACCGUAUAGCCCAAUGAAGAGUUCUGGAGAGCUCUAAAGCUUGAACAUCACUUAGUAACAUGUUGGUUGGCCUAAUAAAUGUAUCACGCCAAUGUGGAUUUUGGAAUGUUUAUUAAUGGCAAGAAGACCUGCUUUCAAAUAAGCUAUAACCAACACAGAGAA